CUUCAAACUAUGGUAUUUUUUUUAAAAAAGUCCUAAGAAGGCAGAGGGCUCUUUGAGUUAAUUCAGAGCCUGGGGAGGACUCAAUCUGUCACCACAGCUUCCUUGUCUUGCCCCAAUGUGGGCUGACCCUUUCUGCAUCAGGUGUCUCCUUUAACCGUCCUGUCCUUGGAGUACUGGGCAAUUAAUUAAUCCAGAAACGCAAAUUCUGUAUACUGGGCUGAGAAAAUAGGAACUGAUUUGGUAAACAAAUGAUAUGUAAAAUAUAUACACAUAGAGUGGCAAGUGACAAAGGAAAUUGCGAAUGCCCCUAAACACUAGUUCCCAUCGAUUGGCAGAGAGAAUCUAACAGACACAGAGGAGAUGGAGCAUAAAAUUGGGCGGACUGAUUCAGAGAGAAAUGCGCAAUGAUCGUGGGACUCGCCGCCGGGAGAAGGCGGACUCAGGAGUCGAAGGCGAUCCGGUCCCUGCCAGAGGAGAGCUAACGACUGGACUGGAACUUCCCGCGACUGCCUGAGGACACUCCUCGGCCUCGAGUCCAGAAACCCUUGGCUCGAGCCCGCCGGUGGAGGUCCCGUCGGGUCCCGGGUGCUCUUGGCUCUGCGGCCAGAAGGCUCCUGCUGGCACUCGCACUGUCCUGGGCUCUGUCCCUCGCUCCCGCAGGCCCGGGGAUUGGCUGCAUCCCGUAGCUGUCGUCCAGCUCCGGAGCUGCCGCGCUCAAUUCCAUUCCCUCUGAUGAUUUCACUGAUAUUAAAUCUUUUUUUCCCCUUU
rnacentral:lncRNA from 1 species